rnacentral:lncRNA from 1 species
UUUUUUUUUUUUUUUUUUUUUUUGCCUCUUUUAGGACUUGGUAGGGCUUGUGCAAGGCGGCUCUGUAUGGUUGUAUGGGUUGUGCACUCCACAUGAGUGCCUGGACGAAGCGGGUAAUAAGAGCUGGAUGUGAACUGUGCUCCAGUUACCAAGCUGUGCACCCAGGGGGGUGCCUUUUCCUAACCCACACAAGGUGCUUUAUGAGCAGGGACAGAGCCUCUUUCUCUGAGAACUACCAGCAUCUGCAAUCUGGGUGUUUUCUCUGCAGUUCUCUUCUUUAUGACAGUUUCAGAAAAUGAUUCUCCAGCCUGGAAAGCAGAAAACUCUCAUGAUUUCCUCCAAGUAUUUUCUCCUUUCUGUGUAUUCCUUCUGGUUCUCUCUGAGUCUAAGCUUUCGACACUGCAAAUCCAGGCAAGAGACAUGGGUUUUUUGUUCUCAGCUGUCACAUCCUUCCCUGAGGCUUAGGGAAAGAAAUACUUUGCUGUCUAAAGAAGAGGUGAGAGCAAAAGGAAUAAGGGCAAUCCUGGGGGAAGAAUAGAGGUUAACAUUUAAAAAAUAUCCUAGCGGGGUGGUGGCUCAUGCCUGUAAUCCCAGCACUUUGGGAGGCCGAGGCGGGUGGAUCACCUAAAGUCAGGAGUUCGAGACCAGCCUGACCAACAUGGUGAAACCCCGUCUCUACUAACAUACAAAAUUAGCUGGGCACAGUGGCACAUGCCUGUAAUCCCAGCUACUCGGGAGGCUGAGACAGGAGAAUUGCUUGAACCUGGAAGGCAGGGGUUGCAGUGACCUGAGAUUGCGCCAUUGCACUCCAGCCUGGGGACAAAGCAAGACUCAAUCUCAAAAAAAAAAAAAAAAAAAAAAAGGGAAACUCUGUCUCAAAAAAAUAAAUAAAUAAAAAUAUCCUACCGCUGUGACAUGUAUUC